rnacentral:misc_RNA from 1 species
GAUGAAGAACGCAGCGAAAUGCGAUAAGUAAUGUGAAUUGCAGAAUCCAGUGAACCAUCGAAUCUUUGAACGCACAUUGCGCCCGUCAGUAUUCUGGCGGGCAUCCCUGUUCGAGCGUCAUUACGCCCCUCAAGUCCCCUGUGGACUUGGUGUUGGGGAUCGGCGAGGCUGGUUUUCCAGCACAGCCGUCCCUUAAAUUAAUUGGCGGUCUCGCCGUGGCCCUCCUCUGCGCAGUAGUAAAACACUCGCAACAGGAGCCCGGCGCGGUCCACUGCCGUAAAACCCCCCAACUUUUUAUAGUUGACCUCGAAUCAGGUAGGACUACCCGCUGAACUUAAGCAUAUCAAUAAGCGGAGGA